UUCAAAAUUUUCAGAAAAAAGGGUGAGUAGGUAGAGAUAUUUUGAAAAAUUUAUGGAAAAAUUAACAUUUAUGGAAAAUCUAUACAUACUGAUAUAAAGCGCUUUUAAAACUAUGAAACUUUUAUUCGGAACAUUUUUUCAUAUCUCUCAUCCUUUCGAGGAUAUUCGAUUAGAAACAAAAAAAAUCGAUAUUUUUCGAAGAUAUGUUUCCAUCUCUAAAAAUGAAUAUUAGUCCGAAUAAAAAAUUGUUACGUUAUUAGGUCUACUGUAUUAUACAAAAUUUCAGAUUUUUUUGAAUUUGACAGUCGCCGAUGUUCGCUUGUUAGUUUGCUGGCAGGAAAGAAUUUUUAUGGAGAACAAGUGAUAAAUAACUGUAAAACUAUUUAUAUCGCAUCAUAAAGGGUGAUUAAAGUAGAUCGACCGCGGUUUUCAUGGGUUUGCCAUCGACAAGAUGAAGCAGUCUCUCUUCCUUUCUCUUUUGCGUUUAAUCGCAACCACGACACCGCAGCGAGCUCAAAGGGGCCACAUUGCCUUCCAUGAACGUCAGCAACGUACGAAUAUUCUCGCAAAAGCGCCGUAAGCGUUUCUGAUGCAUGGAGAAUUUACAUAGGAUGUCUUAGAUAUCUGUUACCCAAUUAUAUGCAAUCUUAUUUAGAAUUUUAACUAAAAAAUUUUAUUUAGGAUAGAUUUCAAAGUACCUACUUAGUUAUAGAUUUGUCCGCGGUUCAGAAUAACUUAUAUUCUUUCCGAUAUCUCUUUAAAACUUUAAUUUGUGUCUUGAAUUAUUUUUUAAUCUAUUCUGAACUAAUAUCUAUUACAAUAUCUAUAACAAUAGGUCAAAUGUGUAUGUGUCUGUGUGUGUAAAUCAAUGCUGAUAUUGAAAUUAUCGAUAAUCAUUGCACCAUAACUUAAAAGGAGAAAGUCCGGAGAUUUCGAAAAUGACAAAUAUUUGUGAUAGUAGAAACGACUUUUUAAUAAAGCACUUUUAAAUCACGCAGUUACGACGCAGAUAGUAAGAAUAAUGCACUUGGCCUUGAUUUUCAAGACUUUGAACUCGAAGACACUUUGUUAUUAUUAAUUAUCCUUGACGUUACAUUGUGCAGGUGCCUUAUUAUAAUAAACCCGCCGAAGGAAGGCGAACGUUGACGUAGUGAGCACGGCCACGCGUUAAUCCCAACUGUUAUCGCUCUGGCUAAGUAUAACGAGGUCCUCAAAUGGAGUAACAAAGUCACGGGCUGGAAGCCCGCGAAAGCUGUAGAACCAACCUUGCCCAUGAUUAUACAGAGACGCAAUGUUGCCGAAAGUCUUUAUUUCCUGAUACUUAUUUUUAUCCAUCGGGAAUACGGGAGCGGUUCAUGAGAUCACGCGAAAUUUACGGUGGCAAGUAAACGGCGUAAACACCUGCGGAAUAUAAUCCUGGGAAACAGCAGUUAAAGUGAAGAAACAAAAGUUCGCGGGGUGGAAGAGAAGGACGGCUAAAAACGUCGUCGAUCCGCGGAUGGUGGACGUCACCCUUGAGUUUAUUGCGACGUGUAUUUUUAGCGACGAGUCUCUCUCUCUCUCUCUCUCUCUUGGGCCGCUUCCCGUGUCUCCUUCGGCCCCGCAGCCGAAAUCCACCGCGCGCGUUGCGCGCUUUGCGUAUGUACGAGCGUACGCGCGCGCACAUAUUCCACGUACAUGCCGAUAAAUAUACUCGGCCAAAUAUUUAGAGAGCUCCACCGCCCACGGCGACGACGGCGGCGGUUAAAAUUACUUGAAUAUUCGUCACGGAAUUCGUCGUAAAACGAUCAUGGAGACCGAUCGAUCCUCCGCUCGUCCCCCGUUGGCGGUGGCAAAGGACGAGCAGAGAAUCGCUUCGCAAAGCGAGUUCGACGGUUCCUUUCGACGGAUCGAUGGCUCGCUUUGUUAGCGGCGAAUGCCUGUUAGCGACAGUAUCGACGAUGUAGCCACUGAUUUCCCCCGUUCUGCCCGUAACAACGAAUAGGACAAUGGGAUCCUCUACCACGGGGUGGAGAACUACCGGGACAUUAUCCCAUCGACCAAAGUGCCCCUUAACGAACGUCGCGCUCGAUCCACCGUGUUCGAUGACCAGCGCGAUCACGUAUGGGAAAUUGGCGUCCGGAAACGGAAACUGAGAGUAAUUGACUUGGGUUCCUUUUGUUGUUUCCGAAAGCAGCAGGAAUCUUAGGUCUCACGGUUCACGUUGAUUGACUACAUAAUCGGAUGAAAGUCUCGGUUGCCCCCGCGUAAGACUGGACGGUAGUGAUUUAUUGGCUCUCCGGCCUCUGAAAGACUUCCGCGGCGUUUGAUAAAUUGCCGGACCGUCGGGUUUCGAGUCCAUGAACGCGAUUUUUCGCUUCGCACGUCAAAUAGGCCUUUUCCCAUCGCUGCAACGUAAUGCGCGACCGUAAUGCAACCGCGAGCGUUUCACGGAUUGCUUGAAAUUCGGCACCCCCCGCGCCGCGCGGGGAAUUUCCGAAUUGAUCGGCCUUGUUCACGUGCGCAACGCUAGACAUCGGUAAUCGAUGAUGCCACCCAUACCGGUUACCAAUGUUAGCAUAUACGUACUCUCGACGACGUGGAGGACGUAAUAACGGCGAGGACGUCGGAGAGAAGCGAAUGACAGGCGUAACAGGUGAUACAAGCGCUCGCAGUGUCGCCGGAACCGCGGAUGCUGUGUAUUUGCGUGGUUAUUGGUGGUAAUAUCCCAUUAAUUUUCCAACUACACUCUUGCACCUUGCUGUCAGAUUUAAAGUGUUCACAACAACGCGCUCGUAAUGAAAUUAUUUAAUAGGUUCGAAAUAUCGCCCCAGAAUGGACUGAGGUAUUUAAAUCCGACACUGAUAAAUAUAAAUGUGCAGUUGUAAUAUUAACGCAAUAAAAUUUUAAUGAUAAAUGACAAAUUUAAAGCUGAUUUUUUCUAGAUGAACUGGAUUAAUAUAAUCUUCUUCUAUUUUUUCUUCAUCAUUAUAAAAAUAUCUGUUUAAGAUAAGUAUUUCAAAUAAUUUAAUUAUUCGCAGUUGUCUUAUCGAUAGAAAUGUCGAUAGUAAAUGUUAUGCCUUUUAUCGCUGAAGCUGUGCCAAUCUCUUUCAAACGAUUUUAUCAGUGAUUUUACUGCUAAAUUACUAGAGAAAGGAAAUGAAACAGAAAUUAUUUUCACAUUCAUCCGGAUUCAGCCGAGAAUCAUACCGCGAGCUCUGACAUGCUUUUGAUUAAUUAACGGUUUUACAUUUAUGUAAUUAGCAAAUAAGAUUCGCAAGAUUCGGAUUUGUAGUCAUAACUUUUCUGUAAUUUUAAUUUUAACGCGAUAAAAAGAAAAAAUACUUUUUAAAAAUUCAGGAAUAAAAUGUUAAAAUUGCUAUUAUAAAUAUAUUUCUAUUACUUUAUAGAGAAUUCUAUUACUUUAUAAUUGAAGCUUUAUUUAUUCUAGAAAUAUAUCAACAUAACAAAAUGUGCGUAUGAGAUGUGAUGCGAAUGGAUACGGCUUCUGAUUCUUUAGGUUCUUACAAUUUUCAAAUGAGAGCUGUACGAAUAAUUCGAGCUUAGCCGGCUUUCUAGCUGCAAUAACUGAGGACUAAUAUUUGGUGCUUGCGAACCGGAGCGAGAAUACUCCGAAAGAAGUGAUUUCUGUCUGAAUAAAUGGGACUCGCGUAUAUUGCAAUCUACCGUCUCUACUCCGUGGAAAAAUGCUUCGAGAAAAAUUCUUUAAAACCAUGGAUAUUAACUGAGAGAUGCGAGAUGUGCAAUUUCUUGACCUACAUUAUUCUAAUCGUCGUUAUUAUCGUAUCAUUAGCUUCUCUUUUCUUCUCUUGUACUGAGAUAUAUAUACCUCGUAACUAUCUCGAAAAGAAAUGUUACACAUACAAUGUUAUGAUAGAUCGCAUCCUAGCAAUACCAAUAAAAAAUAAACAUCGCACUUUUUUCGGACAAAGAUAACACGAGAUACGAGAUCUCGCGCAGUCUUUUCUCCACUGUUUAUUUGCACGGAACGAGCGAAUCCUAUCUUUCGUUCAAUAAAAUACUCGUUCGGUCAGGCAGUCCAGAUGUCGAUGUUGCCACCGAUGCGUACAACUCGUACAUUUUUACAUGUCUGACACGUGUGUGGAGAGCACGAUCAAAAGCAACACGAGACUUUGACCACGGAGUGUGCACAAACCGGCGAUUAUACGUACUGUCAAAGGAACUGCGCUGUCAAACAAUCCGGAUUGCGCAAAACACCCCGUCCAUCAUGCGAGUGCUAGCUGCUGGAGACUAGCGGAAGAGCAGUUUCAGGACAUGAACCCGCGGGAGUGUCUGAGUAAACUAAUCGUUGCAAUGGAUUUACGAUCGAGUGGAGAAGUAGCAUCGUUGAGGAUGAAACUGCCCUUUCGCUCGAGUCAUCAGCUCGCGUUUACGCGCGGCCGAAUGGAGAUGAGAGCACGAGAUAUCAAGUUUAUAUCGCGGAAGAGAGUGGAACGAGACGGAAAGUAGUAUGACGACUGCGUGUGCACGCGUCGGACGUCAGCAUUUCCUUUCCCGGGAGGCAGUAGGGAUCGAUCACAAACUGGCAAAGUGUAUAGUAGAAUCCGGCGGCACCGAAACUUACGUUCGCUUAAUGGACUACUCCUGUAACAACCAAUGAUGCUGCCGCUAGCAAAACAUUCAUGAACGCAAUUCAGUCGACUGGGAUUGAAAUACAUCUCGCAUAAAAUUGAUGCGUUCAAUCCGGUAGUUCCGUAAUCGGCCGGAAACGAUGUCCGUAAACGAUGUCCGUAAAACGCUUCGUUGCAAGAACAUAAACCGAGCAUCGUUAUCGUUUCUCGAAACGAUAACGGCGUGUUAAUUCUUUCCGCCGUGGUGCGCGUUAAGUGAGUCUCAUUUCACGUUUACGACAAUUCGCAACGCGCAAGUAUCACCUGAUUAUGCGAGACGACCUGAAUUGACGCGGCCGAGAAUUAUGCAAAUACCGGACACUGUAUAAUUUGCACGCUGGAUGUCAUCUCCUAACUACACAAGAUCGAUACACGCUGCUUUACGAUAUUGCCGAGGUGCACUGUGCGCAAGCAUAAUGGCCAACAACGUAUUAUUCGCAUUACGACCCCGUGAAAGCAGACAGCGCCGACCUUUAAAAUUUUUACUUGUCGCUCGUGGGUCGCCCUAUUUCGCCUGUUUUUCCUGCCGUGACAGCGAGGUAAAAAAUUCAUGUUCUUUGUAGCGCAAUUUUUGUAGCGCGGAUCUGAUGUAAAAGCAAUGCGACAUUAUAGAGCGCUUUGGUGCCGCAAUGUUCGCCGCACCAGCGGGCUUUAAUACAUAUGGCUAUCCACGAGAAACAAAUUCACUUGCCGAUAUAACUUCCGCGUGGAUUUUAACUUUCAACUGGAGUUGGCCGAUGGAUUUCCGCUGAGUUUCGAACCCGGCUACUGCCGGAAGCCGGAUUACGGAAAUUAUUUAGCUGUGGAGAAUUGAUUCAGAGGCUUUAACUGGUAUACCUGGCAACUGCAAGUAUUGGCUAUUGAAGAAUCGCUAAAAUGAUUGAUCGAACCAAUAAUACGCAUUACCGACGCUGAAAUGAUCGCAAUGAAUUAACUGCAGUUGUGGGUGUAGCCAAAUGUCAGCAAUGACGGUCGCUCUAUAUCCGUACCCUUCAAUGACGUCCAACGUCAAAAUCGAACGAUCGCAAAAAUCAAGCGUGUGCAGGCUUGACCUGAUUUCGCCGUAAGCGCAUAACGAUGUAAACGCAAUGCUCUAAAACGCCGAAACGAGACGCCACCCGUGCAAUUCAGGCGCAGGAAGGCGUCUUAUGAGUUUAAGAUCGAUACGAUGCACGCUUGGUAAUUUUACCGCAAACACGUCGAUUAUUGUAAGCGCUGUUUCUCGGAAUUCAAGAACAUCAAAACAAGUUUAUAAGUUCCGUGAUUCGCUUGAAUUAAUUUACUUGCUUUCUGUAAACAAAUGAUAAAUAUAUCUUUAAAGUAUCUGGGAGACACAAUUAUUUAAGCACAUUACAUUAAGAUAUAGUUUUAAAAUGGACAUAAAACGUUUUGGAGAAACCAGAUAGAAGUUCAGAAAUAGUAAAAGUUAAAAGUAUAAUUCAUUGAAUGUUCAUUAAAAAAGAGAAUGUUUCUUAUAAAAUGUAAAUUCCAUAUGUUUAUGUAUUUUUAAUUAUGAUACAACGGUGUCUUUAUUAAGCAUGCAAGUUAAUAUAAAUACCAAGACUGUAUAAGAUGUGCAAGCUUAAAAAUAUUUGCACAAAAAAUAGAUAUAUCCAUAAUUGAAAAUUUUAAAACCGUGAAUUCUGAUGCUGACAAAGAUAGAACGUUACAUGUGACGCGAAUCUGUACAAUUUUUGCAAACACAAACUCUGCACACGAUAUCAUCCGUGACAGCAUCCGAUAUGUCUAUUAAAAUACAAUUCCACGCAAACAAUCAGUCAUAUAUGAAACUGCUCAAUCAAUUAUACGUAUAAAAACGA
rnacentral:lncRNA from 1 species